rnacentral:rRNA from 1 species
GACGAACGCUGGCGGCGUGCCUAAUACAUGCAAGUAGAACGCACAGUUUAUACCGUAGCUUGCUACACCAUAGACUGUGAGUUGCGAACGGGUGAGUAACGCGUAGGUAACCUGCCUGGUAGCGGGGGAUAACUAUUGGAAACGAUAGCUAAUACCGCAUAAUAUUAAUUAUUGCAUGAUAAUUAAUUGAAAGGUGCAAUGGCACCACUACCAGAUGGACCUGCGUUGUAUUAGCUAGUAGGUGAGGUAACGGCUCACCUAGGCGACGAUAGGUAGCCGACCUGCGAGGCGGCUCGGCAUCGCUGGUCUGGGGGCACGACCCAGCCUCCUACGGGAGGCAGCAGUCGGGGAUCUUCGGGAAUAGCAGCAAGUCUGACCGAUCAACGCCGCGUGAGUGACGGAGGUUUUCGGGUCGUAAAGCUCUGUUGUACGUGAAGAUCGGGUGUGAGAGUGGAAAGUUCUCACUGUGACGGUAUCUUACCAGAAAGCUACGGCUAACUCCGUG